rnacentral:rRNA from 1 species
UACGUAGGUGGCGAGCGUUGUCCGGAUUUACUGGGCGUAAAGGGAGCGUAGGCGGACUUUUAAGUGAGAUGUGAAAUACCUGGGCUCAACUUGGGUGCUGCAUUUCAAACUGGAAGUCUAGAGUGCAGGAGAGGAGAAUGGAAUUCCUAGUGUAGCGGUGAAAUGCGUAGAGAUUAGGAAGAACACCAGUGGCGAAGGCGAUUCUCUGGACUGUAACUGACGCUGAGGCUCGAAAGCGUGGGGAGCAAACAGGAUUAGAUA